rnacentral:lncRNA from 1 species
AUGAUGAACACAAAGAGAAAGAGAAGAGGCACUGAUAUAUGUUCUCCAGGCCUUUUAGAGAACAUGGAAUUGUUCCUUUGGCCACAUAGAUGUGAAUCUAUAAGAAAGAUGAUAUUGUAGACACCAAAGGAAUGGGUACUGUUCAAAAAGGAAUGCCCCAUAAGUGUUACCAUGGCAAAACCGGAAGAGUCUACAAUGUUACCCAGAAUGCUGUUGGCAUUGUUGUAAAUAAACAAGUUAAGGGGAAGAUUCUUGCCAAGAAAA